ensembl:lncRNA
GUGGAGACUAACUAUGAAAUGCUUACUGACAGAGACUUACCAACAAAGCGGCCGCGUAGCCUAGUGGUUAGAGUGUAGGGGCGGCAGCGUAGCCUAGUAGUUAGAGUGUAGGGGCGGCAGCGUGGCCUAGUGGAUAGAGUGUAGGGGCGGCAGGUAGCCUAGUGGUUAGAGUGGAGGGGCGGCAGGUAGCCUAGUGGUUAGAGUGGAGGGGCGGCAGGUAGCCUAGUGGUUAGAGUGGAGGGGCGGCAGGGUAGCCUAGUGGUUAGAGUGUAGGGCGGCAGCGUAGCCUAGUGGUUAGAGUGGAGGGGCGGCAGGUAGCCUAGUGGUUAGAGUGGAGGGGCGGCAACGUAGCCUAGUGGUUAGAGUGUAGGGACAGGCAGGUAGCCUAUUGGUUAGAGUGGAGGGGCAGCAGCGUAGCCUAGUGGCUAGAGUGUAGGGGCGGCAGCGUAACCUAGUGGUUAGAGUGUAGGGGCGGCAGGUAGCCUAGUGGUUAGAGUGGAGGGGCGGCAGGUAGCCUAGUGGUUAGAGUGGAGGGGCGGCAGGGUAGCCUAGUGGUUAGAGUGUAGGGGCGGCAGCGUAGCCUAGUGGUUAGAGUGUAGGGGCGGCAGGGUAGCCUAGUGGUUAGAGUGUAGGGGCGGCAGCAUAGCCUAGUGGUUAGAGUGUAGGGGCGGCAGCGUAGCCUAGUGGUUAGAGUGUAGGGACAGGCAGGUAGCCUAGUGGUUAGAGUGGAGGGGCGGCAGGUAGCCUAGUGGUUAGAGUGGUGGGGCGGCAGGUAGCCUAGUGGUUAGAGUGUAGGGGUG